UACGGGGGGGGCAAGCGUUUGUUCGGGAAUUACUGGGCGUAAAGGGCUCGUAGGUGGCCAACUAAGUCAGACGUGAAAUCCCCCGGCUUUAACCGGGGAACUGCGUCUGAUAUGGAUGGCUUGAGUUGGGAGGAGGGAUGCGGAAUUCCAGGGUGUAGCGGUGAAAUGCGGUAGAUAUCUGGAGAACACCGGGUGGCGAAGGCGGCAUCC
rnacentral:rRNA from 1 species